GUUCAUGAAUAUCCUGCUGCUGUUUCAAACGAGAAUUGUACUUCUUGGACAAAAACGAGACCGAUCCUUCGAGUUCCGUAACUGAUUUCGAUACCGCCGCGAACUCUUCCUGCAGCAUUAGCAGAGAAUC
rnacentral:lncRNA from 1 species